CACAAUGUCUCGACUGUCAUGGCGGCCCGCUGCCUGUCAACUCUCGCCCAGCAUCAUCACCUCCUUCUUUGUUACAAUAGAGAGCCAUCUAGUCGAAUCACUCCAUUAUUUCAAGGUGUCAAACACGAGGCCCGGAGUUCCAGAUCCGGCCCACAACAUUGUUUCUGUGGCUUGCAGAAUUGUGUGCAUCAACUUCUUGUUUCUUGCUACAAUACCAAAAUUGCAAAUUGUAAUCAAUUUUUGAAAACAAGACAUUGAAAGCAUUUUGUGUUUCUAAUCCUAUUGUAAAAUAAAAAAAAUUGAAAAACGU